GGGGCGUGGGCGAAGCAGGCUGCUCGCCUUCUGCCUGUAGUGUGUGGGCUGGGGUUGGUGCGAGCUUCCAGCUUGGCCGCAGUUGGUUCGUAGUUCGGCUCUGGGGUCUUUUGUGUCCGGGUCUGGCUUGGCUUUGUGUCCGCGAGUUUUUGUUCCGCUCCGCAGCGCUCUUUCCGGGCAGGAGCCGUGAGGCUCGGAGGCGGCAGCGCGGUCCCCGGCCAGGAGCAAGCGCGCCGACGUGUACGUCCAGCUCUACCUGCAGCACCUCACGGCUCGCAACCGGCCGCCGCUCCCCGCCGGCACCAACAGCAAGGGGCCCCCGGACUUCUCCAGUGACGAAGAGCGCGAGCCCACCCCGGUCCUCGGCUCUGGGGCCGCCGCCGCGGGCCGGAGCCGAGCAGCCGUCGGCAGGAAAGCCACAAAAAAAACUGAUAAACCCAGACAAGAAGAUAAAGAUGAUCUAGAUGUAACAGAGCUCACUAAUGAAGAUCUUUUGGAUCAGCUUGUGAAAUACGGAGUGAAUCCUGGUCCUAUUGUGGG
rnacentral:sRNA from 1 species